GACGAACGCUGGCGGCGUGCUUAACACAUGCAAGUCGAACGGUAAGGCCCUUCGGGGUACACGAGUGGCGAACGGGUGAGUAACACGUGGGUGAUCUGCCCUGCACUUCGGGAUAAGCCUGGGAAACUGGGUCUAAUACCGGAUAGGACCACUGCCUGCAUGGGUGGUGGUGGAAAGCUUUUGCGGGGUGGGAUGGGCCCGCGGCCUAUCAGCUUGUUGGUGGGGUGAUGGCCUACCAAGGCGACGACGGGUAGCCGGCCUGAGAGGGUGACCGGCCACACUGGGACUGGGAUACGGCCCAGAAUCCUACGGGAGGCAGCAGUGGGGAAUAUUGCACAAUGGGCGCAAGCCUGAUGCAGCGACGCCGCGUGGGGGAUGACGGCCUUCGGGUUGUAAACCUCUUUCAGCACCGACGAAGCGCAAGUGACGGUAGGUGCAGAAGAAGGACCGGCCAACUACGUGCCAGCCGCCGCGGUAA
rnacentral:rRNA from 1 species